GACGAACGCUGGCGGCGUGCUUAACACAUGCAGGUCGAACGGAAAGGCCCUGCUUUUGUGGGGUGCUCGAGUGGCGAACGGGUGAGUAACACGUGAGUAACCUGCCCUUGACUUUGGGAUAACUUCAGGAAACUGGGGCUAAUACCGGAUAGGAGCUCCUGCUACAUGGUGGGGGUUGGAAAGUUUCGGCGGUUGGGGAUGGACUCGCGGCUUAUCAGCUUGUUGGUGGGGUAGUGGCUUACCAAGGCUUUGACGGGUAGCCGGCCUGAGAGGGUGACCGGCCACAUUGGGACUGAGAUACGGCCCAGACUCCUACGGGAGGCAGCAGUGGGGAAUAUUGCACAAUGGGCGGAAGCCUGAUGCAGCAACGCCGCGUGCGGGAUGACGGCCUUCGGGUUGUAAACCGCUUUCGCCUGUGACGAAGCGUGAGUGACGGUAAUGGGUAAAGAAGCACCGGCUAACUACGUG
rnacentral:rRNA from 1 species